AGGAGGAUUUUGUGUCUAAUUCAGGUAUGCUUUGUCCUUUCAUUUGUGUAUUUUAGAACGAUUCUUUUUUUCAAUUAGAAAAGAGUACACAUUCAUAUAUAUUUGAUCUUUUUCCUUUUGUGGAACCUUCCAACUUAUCAAUUUUGCUCAUUACAGACUGAAGAAGUAGUCUUUUAUCAACUUAUUAUGGACAAAUUUAUGAAUUAAUUUUUUGCAGCAGAAAAGUUGUUUCUAGAUGUUCUAUUAUUGCUAUAUUGCUUACAUUUUUGCUUUUGCAUCAUACUACCAGCUUAUUUUUGUGAUUAUUAUUUUCCACAAAACACGCUUAAUGUCUUCUUAUAUGGGUCAUGACUUAUGAGCCUUCCCAUCCAAUACUUGGAGCUUUUGGAACAGAGCUCUAAUGCUUAGUAAGAGGCUAAGAGCUUGUUUUGGCGUUCAGCUGGAGUCCAUGUGUGGGUCUAUCUGCUUUUUAGUUUGAUAGAGUAGUGGACUUUUAGCAUGGUUAAGUUAAAGCCUGUUGUAUUAGGGCUUAUGUGAGAAGGGGUUUUAGAAGUAAGAGGAGCCUCACAUCCCUUCAGGAAAGGUUCUUAUAUGGGCUUAUUUGGCUUAUGGAUCACUUCACCCUAUAGCUUAAGUUUUUGGGUUGGAAUUUCAUCCGAUGCCUGAUUGUGCUUCGUAGUUUGACAUGUAUUAUCAUGCAAAAAAUGUUGUAGCAUUGCUAUUAGCUCCAUUUUAUUUAUUUUUUGGUUGCUUGUUCUCUAAAAUGUGGUUCUUCAGUUUGAUUCUUAUUAACUUUAUUGUAACUGGAGUUUGGCACCAAGUAAGGAUAUAUCUUCUACUCUUCAAGUAAAUCUAGGAAAAUUUUACUGCAAAACAGCAAAUGUUUAGCUUCUUGCUAAAUUCUAAAGCAUCCUAUCGGAUAAAAUUUUAAAACAGGUUGUUAGAAUUGUUAAACAUCUAAGUUAGUCAAGAAGCUAACCUUCUGGGUGUACGUGUUUGUAGGUUUGGUUGGGGUUAAGUAGACUAAGGUAGUAGAACUUUAUGGGAAGUAUAAAAACUCUCUUGUUUUUGCAUUAUCAAACCAACUUCUUGGAUGUAGGUCAUUCUAAUUCCCUUGUGCUAGGGAAGUAACUUAGAAGAGACUUGGUAAAUUGCAUUUCCUUAGUUAAGUGCAAGAUAAUUUACCAAUUUUUCUUUUAAUUUGUUACAUUUUAAAUUACAUUAUGAGUAUUAUUGUCUUUUGUUACUUAGGAGCAAAUUUACGUACUGGAAAGUUAAUUUGUAUGGUUCAAAAUACUCACUUCUUGGGAAGUAUACUUCUCAGGAUGUACACUUUCAGGGAACUUACUUCUUGGGAAGUAUGAUAUAAAUGUGUUUGGUAUACAAAUUAACUUACUAUGAAGUAGUUUGUUUCUAAAUUAUAAAAGAUAAUAAUGCCCAUAAAAUAAUUU
rnacentral:misc_RNA from 1 species